rnacentral:rRNA from 1 species
GGAUUAGAUACCCGGGUAGUCCACGCCCUAAACGAUGCAUGCUCGCUGUCGGGGCCGAUACAGGUCUCGGUGGCUCAGCUAACGCGGUAAGCAUGCCGCCUGGGGAUUACGGCCGCAAGGUUAAAACUCAAAGGAAUUGACGGGGACCCGCACAAGUGGAGGAGCAUGUCCAUUAAUUCGAAGAUACGCGAAGAACCUUACCUAGCCUUGACAUACCAGUAGCCGUUCCCCGAAAAGGGAGCCUCAUUUAGUUGGACUGGAUACAGGUGUUGCAUGGCUGUCGUCAGCUCGUGUCGUGAGAUGUUGGGUUAAGUCCCGCAACGAGCGCAACCCUCGCUGUUAGUUGCCAGCAUUAAGUUGGGCACUCUAACGGAACCGCCGCGGAUAACGCGGA